rfam:Glycine max cultivar Williams 82 chromosome 15, whole genome shotgun sequence.
AUGUUAACGUAUAAUAUGUUAACAUCGGUUUUCCAAAAAAUCGAUGUUAACAUAUCAUACGUUAACAU